UUCUACGGCCAUGCUACCCUGAACAAGCCCGAUCCUGUCUGAUCUCGGAAGCUAAGUAGGGUCAGCCUGGUUAGUACUUGGAUGGGAGACCACCUAGGAAGAUCAGGUGCUGUAGGCG
rnacentral:rRNA from 1 species